AUACGGAGGGUGCAAGCGUUAUCCGGAUUCACUGGGUUUAAAGGGUGUGUAGGCGGACUAUUAAGUCAGUGGUGAAAUCCCCGGGCUCAACCUGGGAACUGCCGUUGAUACUAUUAAUCUUGAAUUCUGUUGAAGUGAACAGAAUACAUCAUGUAGCGGUGAAAUGCUUAGAUAUGAUGUAGAACACCGAUUGCGAAGGCAGCUCACUAAGCAGCGAUUGACGCUGAGGCACGAAAGCGUGGGGAUC
rnacentral:rRNA from 1 species